GAUGAACGCUGGCGGCGUGCCUAAUACAUGCAAGUCGAGCGAACAGACGAGGAGCUUGCUCCUCUGACGUUAGCGGCGGACGGGUGAGUAACACGUGGAUAACCUACCUAUAAGACUGGGAUAACUUCGGGAAACCGGAGCUAAUACCGGAUAAUAUAUUGAACCGCGUGGUUCAAUAGUGAAAGACGGUUUUGCUGUCACUUAUAGAUGGAUCCGCGCCGCAUUAGCUAGUUGGUAAGGUAACGGCUUACCAAGGCAACGAUGCGUAGCCGACCUGAGAGAGUGAUCGGCCACCCUGGAACUGAGACCAGGUCCAGAAUCCUACGGGAGGCAGCAGUAGUUAAUCUUUAGCAAUGGGCGAAAGCCUGACGGAGCAACGCCGCGUGAGUGAGGAAGGACUUCGGAACGUAAAACUCUGUUAUUAGGGAAGAACAAACGUGUAAGUAACUAUGCACGUCUUGACGGUACAAAAUCAGAAAGCAACGGAUAACUACGUG
rnacentral:rRNA from 1 species